AUUCACUGUUUAUUUUUCGAUUUUUCUUGAUGUUUCACUUCACGCCAUAUGUUGAGAUGACCAGUUUAUCAUCAUUUUUCACUCACUUUAUUUUUAAAUAUAUAUUCCUAGUUUGUUUGACCAGCUGAGCUAAUUUUAACGGUGACAGUGCAAUGAUAAAGGAUUCAAGUCGACUUGGGUACACUUGAAAGGUGAAAGUGACACUGGUAAAAUAACACAAUAACCAAAAUGAAUAAUCAAGCACCAGCCAAAUAAAGCUCUAGUGCAAGUGAGAGUAAAAGUAUCAUGAUCACGAUUGGCAAGAAAAAUCUGUUCACCAGUUGAUCUCGGCUUACUAGUGCAACCAAAAGCCGGAGAGAGAGUUAACUGGAGGGACUUCAAUCUGGGUUGGACCGGCUAACAUGCUAUUGUUGGGGAAAUAAGGAAACCUGUUUAAGUUAAUUGUGGAUCUCACUCUACAUCCAAGGGACUCUGCAUCCUUCUCACUCAUCUUCUAUUAACUGAUUCUUCAAUUCUCCCUCAUCAUCAAACUUUCAUUUCUACCAGUCUAUUUUUUUCUCUAUCUCUCUCUCUCUCUCUCACCUCAUCCCAUCUCAUCCUUAAUUCAUUUUCUCUUAUUCGUAAUAAGCCUCUGUUGAUUCAGGCUUCUGUUGCUUUUUUAUUGUUGAUAGUGUUUAGCUUCUUGUAAGUUGAUUGUAGGUUUGGCGAAAUGCAGUUGAAUCGGAAAAAGUUACAAAACUGGCCUGCUCCUGUUAUUUUGCUCUUUAUUAUCUUCUUUUGGUUACCAUGAACUAGUAAAAUCGGCACACGGUUAGGUCUCAGUCGAUUCCUUAAAUCUUAUUUUAUGUGUAAUGAUCCAACCGCCUCUUGUUAACUUUCCCAAUUUUUUAACCUUUCACUUUUAUAUCUCUCCUCUUUCCGGGCCAUAUCAUGCGUCUUCAGUGUUUGAUUGAAUUAUUUAUGCUAGAAAUUCAGGGGAGAGUGGAAAUCAAUUUUUCAGAAGUUACUCUUUCCUAAAAUUUAACAUGACCGAGGGUUUAUUAGUGGUUUUAUCAGACUGUGCUAAUAAAUCCGUUGAUCAACUUCUU